GAUGAACGCUGGCGGCGUGCCUAAUACAUGCAAGUCGAGCGAACGGACGAGAAGCUUGCUUCUCUGAUGUUGGCGGCGGACGGGUGAGUAACACGUGGAUAACCUACCUAUAAGACUGGGAUAACUUCGGGAAACCGGAGCUAAUACCGGAUAAUAUUUUGAACCGCAUGGUUCAAAAGUGAAAGACGGUCUUGCUGUCACUUAUAGAUGGAUCCGCGCUGCAUUAGCUAGUUGGUAAGGUAACGGCUUACCAAGGCAACGAUGCAUAGCCGACCUGAGAGGGUGAUCGGCCACACUGGAACUGAGACACGGUCCAGACUCCUACGGGAGGCAGCAGUAGGGAAUCUUCCGCAAUGGGCGAAAGCCUGACGGAGCAACGCCGCGUGAGUGAUGAAGGUCUUCGGAUCGUAAAACUCUGUUAUUAGGGAAGAACAUAUGUGUAAGUAACUGUGCACAUCUUGACGGUACCUAAUCAGAAAGCCACGGCUAACUACGUGCCAGCAGCCGCGGUAAUACGUAGGUGGCAAGCGUUAUCCGGAAUUAUUGGGCGUAAAGCGCGCGUAGGCGGUUUUUUAAGUCUGAUGUGAAAGCCCACGGCUCAACCGUGGAGGGUCAUUGGAAACUGGAAAACUUGAGUGCAGAAGAGGAAGGUGGAAUUCCAUGUGUAGCGGUGAAAUGCGCAGAGAUAUGGAGGAACACCAGUGGCGAAGGCGACUUUCUGGUCUGUAACUGACGCUGAUGUGCGAAAGCGUGGGGAUCAAACAGGAUUAGAUACCCUGGUAGUCCACGCCGUAAACGAUGAGUGCUAAGUGUUAGGGGGUUUCCGCCCCUUAGUGCUGCAGCUAACGCAUUAAGCACUCCGCCUGGGGAGUACGACCGCAAGGUUGAAACUCAAAGGAAUUGACGGGGACCCGCACAAGCGGUGGAGCAUGUGGUUUAAUUCGAAGCAACGCGAAGAACCUUACCAAAUCUUGACAUCCUUUGACAACUCUAGAGAUAGAGCCUUCCCCUUCGGGGGACAAAGUGACAGGUGGUGCAUGGUUGUCGUCAGCUCGUGUCGUGAGAUGUUGGGUUAAGUCCCGCAACGAGCGCAACCCUUAAGCUUAGUUGCCAUCAUUAAGUUGGGCACUCUAAGUUGACUGCCGGUGACAAACCGGAGGAAGGUGGGGAUGACGUCAAAUCAUCAUGCCCCUUAUGAUUUGGGCUACACACGUGCUACAAUGGACAAUACAAAGGGCAGCGAAACCGCGAGGUCAAGCAAAUCCCAUAAAGUUGUUCUCAGUUCGGAUUGUAGUCUGCAACUCGACUACAUGAAGCUGGAAUCGCUAGUAAUCGUAGAUCAGCAUGCUACGGUGAAUACGUUCCCGGGUCU
rnacentral:rRNA from 1 species